CAAUAGCGUAUAUUAAAGUUGUUGCAGUUAAAAAGCUCGUAGUUGGAUUUCUGUGAGAGUGCCGGUGUCGGCUGAUGCUUGUACGCAGGCGCUCUUACAUCCUUCUGUUAACUGAUCUUGGCAUUUUAUUGCUGGUUCAGGGCUCAGAUAUUUUACCUUGAGAAAAUUAGAGUGUUUCAGGCAGGCUUAUGCCGGAAUACAUUAGCAUGGAAUAAUGGAACAGGACCUGUGCGUCUUUCGGGGCGCCGGUCUCCGUUAUUGGUUUCGGGGACUAAAGUAAUGAUUAAUAGGGAUAGUUGGGGGCAUUAGUAUUUAAUAGUCAGAGGUGAAAUUCUCGGAUUUGUUAAAGACUAACUUAUGCGAAAGCAUUUGCCAAGGAUGUUUNCAUUAA
rnacentral:rRNA from 1 species